GUCGCCCAUAACCUCCGUGUACAGUUAUACACACAUAAAUAAACAAAAUUUUCCCUCAUGUUUGGUCUACGAGAACCACAAACGCCCAACACCUGUUGCAGCCAAUCUAAAUCACAACCCCUGCAAAGUUGAAUCAGUGGGGUGGUCAUCAUAGGGUUCUUCAAUCGCAACUCGUUUAUCACCAGGACGUCUUCCACUAAUUUAGUUCUUCUCCCACGAGUCAAGGUUAGUGAGUUCUUAACCUGAAAUUAAUUUUUUUUAUGUCUUCUGAUUGAUUCAUGUUGCUUCUAAUCAUUAUCAUCUUCACCAUCGCGGGACACCACUUGGUAAAGCUAGAGAAACUUCAUUGGCUCUAGGUUAGGCUAAAUGUCAGAUUUUGAGAAGUUUUUAUUCAGUUUAUAUGUUUUACUUCAUAUUUCUGCUACAUUCUGCACUAUUGUUUGAAUUCAUUGGUGUUGCCAAACGGAAUCCAUUUCAAUUUAGUAUGCUUGAACGUUCUUUACGUCAUUGGAAUUGGUCGCAUGAGGUGUCUUCAUCAUCAGCCUGGCAGGUUCAAGAGCAAUUUUAGAGGCAACACCAGUCCGCUCCAGGGAUUCUGAUUUCGAUUACACUUAUGACAGCCAUGACAAACAGGGUGGUUGUUUCAACCUAUUCGAAGGUUAUCUACGGUCCAUGUUACAAUCACAUGCGUGUGUUAUGUAUCACACAUACAUGUCUAUUUUACGAGUAUUCCAAACUUCUUAUUUGAAUGUGGGCGUUAAACCAGUUUGACUACCAGAUGUUGUUAAUUCAUUUCAUCGAAGAAGUGUUAGAUCCUUUACAACAUGCUAUGGUCUCAACCCACCGUUUAAAAUAUUGUGUGACGAGGCGUUUAUACACCAUGUUACUGUUAAUCGCGUUAUUCCGGCUGAUACAAUCAUUUCUAACAUUUUAGGUGCUCCAGUAAAAAUACUCACCACCAGAUGUAUUCUUGCUGAGUUGAAAAGCCUUGGUGGUCUACUCUGAUUCGUGAUCUUGCGCAUGUAAGAGGAAGAGUGCUAUGGAUCGUCUAGCAGAUGUUAUUGGGGAAAGCAACCCAGGGCAUUUCUUUGUUGUUACUCAAGAUGUUGACUUGCGUAAGAAGUUUCAGGACCUAUUUCAUCUAUUUGAUUCCCGCUAUGCCUGCAAUAUUUGCACUUAGAAUUGCUUUAUUUCUUGAGUCUCAACAACAACUUGCCAAAGCUGCUGAAGGACACUCACGCUUGAAUAAGUUGUAGAUUAAAAUGCUAAAUCAUAAGAAAAAGAGAAGUUCUGAAACAGGCGAGCAGGCAGAUGAAGCUUUUCCAAAUGAAACCAUUGAAGAUUUAAAGAAAGUUGCUUCUACAAGGAAAAUUAAUGUUAAGGAUAAAUUAUAAUUCAGGAGAAAAGGAGCUAAGGGUCCAAAUCCAGUAUCUUGUAAGAAGAAAAAGGAGAACCAAAAACCUUUUGCCUAAAAGUCUUUAACUUAUCCGGUAAUGGAAAUCUUGAAAAAAAAAUGAGAGAUGUUUGGUUAUAAUAAAUUAGCUGAUUUAUGAUUUGAGCAAAAGGCAUGACUACCAUCAGAUUCCACUCUCAUUGUGGUAAAGUAGGUGUUGUUGACCCAUUCAGCUCACUAAUAUUUCAUCAACGGGUUGAGAUUGCCACAUGUAAAACUUGGGAACAUGAUUUCAAGUUAAGGAAAACAUAGCCUAAAUCGAUCAUUUUCUCUUUAAACGGGUCUAAUCUUGCAUAUAGUUUUCAUAUGCUUUUGCAUUGGCGCAUUUUUAAUUGCAGGGAAAACGUGGAAUAGAUGAGAUGUGCAAGAGAACAAUGGAACUUGCCAGUGAGAGCUCAUACGUGUAUCGAACCAAAGAUGAAGUAACAAAAGUAAAAAAGAAAAUUAGAAGAGUUUUCUUUCAAAAUUUAUGGCAGUAUAUAUUUGGUGAGUAUGAAGCAUGCACCUCCCUUCUUAUGAACAGAGUGAGAGAAGUUGAGAUAUUGAUGAUGCAAUUUUAUUUUGGUGCUGCUCCACAUCAUCUUCCUGCUGUACUUUAAGUGAGGAUGAUAAAAUGAUAGCUUUAGGCUUGUCUGAUGAGAUGGAUUUCAUCACAAACAAACCAUACACAAAAUGGUGAACUUACCCCUAUAUUGCUCACGGAAGGGCAAUCUUUGUACAUGUAUUAAUAAACAUAUAUUUUCAAGGUUUUGGUGAAUAGUGA
rnacentral:lncRNA from 1 species